rnacentral:misc_RNA from 1 species
GUCAAUAAUUAAAUCACUCACACACUGUCAACAUUACACGCAUAGAUAUACCAGCCAGCCAGUCUCAGAGACCGACCCGGCGGUUUAAUAUUGUAAAAUCGGGUCUCCCCUCUUCCACAUUAUCGGAUUUGUUAAUGAUCCUUCCGCAGGUUCACCUACGGAAA